UACAGAGACUGCAAGCGUUAUUCGGAUUCAUUGGGCGUAAAGGGUGCGCAGGUGGCGUGGCAAGUCGGAUGUGAAAUCCCGGGGCUCAACCCCGGAACUGCAUUCGAUACUGCCUUGCUAGAGUGCUGGAGAGGAGAUUGGAAUUUACGGUGUAGCAGUGAAAUGCGUAGAUAUCGUAAGGAAGCCCAGUGGCGAAGGCGGGUCUCUGGACAGUUCCUGACACUGAGGCACGAAGGCCAGGGGAGCAAACGGG
rnacentral:rRNA from 1 species